UCCAAUGAGGAUCUGAAAAUAAAUGUGAUUGAUGCCUACAAAGCAGAGGUUGAUACAAAGACAUCAACGUGCUUUCAGUUUACAAUUGUGACUGUCCAGAAUGUUACUAAGAAAUGGCAGUUAAGAAGAUCUGUGAGCUCCCUGUAUGCUACAGAAAGGCAAAAUAAACCGCCCAAAUGACACUAAAGACAUGCAGGAAGGAUUAGCUGAGACAGCUGAGUGGUGCUGAACUGUUCUACUCCCUAGGGUUGCUUCCACAAACAUGAUCUGCAUGGAGGAAUCUGAACCUCACUCUUAGCAUAGAGUUUUCAGUGGCGCUAUAAAACACAUUCCACCAUCCACAAAGCUGCAUGAGCCAAAUCUUCAAAUAUGGCAUAAUCCUAGUCGAUCUUUAAAUCUUCCUUUUAUACAAUUUUAGUUUACAUUCUGAUGGUCAUCUGUCUGUACCCUGUGAGCACUGAAAUCAGUAAUUACUCUCUCAUUUAAGCUGAUUUGAUUGACAUUAAGUGGGAUAGAAGCUCCAAGUAAUCAGUUUACCUGUUAUUACAUAUUAUUAUACCACCAGGAAAAAGUAUACUCAUGGUCAGUAGUAACAAAUCUCAUUCAAUGCAUAGAAGCGUGCAUACGCUGUUUACACAUAACACUAUGUAUAUGCACAUUUUUUAUUAUUAUUAUUAUUAUUAUUGAGGUGUGGGAGAUUAGAACUCUCGGGAUGGUGAGCGCAUGCGUGCAUGGGAGGUGAGUGUUGCUUCUUGGGAAACUGAGUCCUGGCCGGGUUGAGAUAUGACAAUUAUAUGCAUCCACAUUUAUCUGGGGAUUACUAAAGUAUUAUCUUAUCUUAUCUUAUCUUAUCUUUAUAAAUGAGACCACAAAUAUUCACUAGUUUUGACUAAUAUAUAAUAACAUAUGGGCAUAAUAUAUAUAAUUUUAUACCAUGGUCUGUCUGAAUACUUGAUUCUGAAUAGCUGGAAAUUAUGUGUUCAAACUGUAGUGCACAGGUAGUUCCAGAUGGUUUAAUCACAGUUCUAAAUUAAUGCCCAUGCCUAUAAACACCUGUAACCAUAGUAACAUACAGUUACAAUUUCAUACAGUAGUUAAACUCACAGCUUCAUUAUUAUUAGAGACCCGGCACAGACUCAGGUAAUUCACACACGCGCAGUCUCUCUCUCUCUCUCUCUCUCUCCACGCACAGUCUCUCAGUCUCUCUCUCUCUCUCUCUCUCUCUCUCGCUCUCUCUCUCUCUCUCUAAUAACUAUUUAUUAUAAUUUCUUUAAAUAACUGUUAUCUUAUCACACUACUUUAUCUCUGUAUAUGAUUUAGAGCAGGCAAAAUUCUAGAUCUAACGACCCGUAUAUAAAAUAACUAAUGAAAAUUAACCAUUUGUUGUAUCCUUUCAGUCAGAUUUUGCACUGUAAACAUCAAUGACAGCUUAAACUUGUCAGUGCUGGCAAGUGACCAUGAAGACAUUCAUCUGAUCUGUCAUAUUUCCUCAAGUCAAACUCAUUCAGAGUCUCUUCUGAGUUCAGCAACACAAACACAAGAGGUGACCACUGAGCAGGAGAGAGACGGAUUCCAUUAAGACACCAGUCAUCUCUUCUGUUCAGUUUCCUGUUUGUUGUGAGAGCUGCUUCCUGUCUGGGGCAGUAGGUCUUGUAAGAGAGUCUGAUUGGACUCCAGGGAGAGACCCAGAAGGAAGUGGAGGAACAGGUCCAGGUGUCCCUUCUCACUUUUUAAGGCCUUGUUUACUGCACUCCUCAGGAAAUCAGACAUGUUUGACUUGGUGAAAAGAUCAGACAGAUCAGUGGUUUGUAUCCGACAACCCUUGUCGUCACAGCGCCUGGCGCACCCUGGGCAACGUUCAGUAUUAUACUGCUGAGCAGCCAAUCCUUCCACCACACUGGUUCCACCAGUAAUAUGCGACACCAAACGGCACUUGUCAGCGUCAGCCCUGACCAUCAUCUUUAUAUACAUAGAGGGUUUCUCAGAAGACAAAGCGCUACUCCUUUCGGAAAUGUGCCACAAGACGCAAUGUAAUAUUCCAUGUGUCCAAGAGACCCAUCGCGACUCUGGCCAAACUAGGCCGGAGAUACCCAGACUGACAUUAGUAGCGGAAAUUCCACAUCCAAAACAUGUGCGAUCUACACCAAACCGGACAUUACAGUUACAUCUUCUUAAUGUGCUCGUCGUGACACUAUAGAGCUUAUCACUGUGGACGUCGGUACCUGCACAAUCUCAUCCAUGUACAAACCACCUGCCCAACCUUUCAUACCCUGGGACAUCAGCGAUUCGGAUGACCAACCUAUUAGACUGAUUGUUGGAGACUUCAAUAGCCACAACACGACGUGGGGCUACCAAUCCACCAACUCAGACGGUGAAGCGGUUGAAGCAUGGGCGGAGGCCAACAGACUCACUCUCCUCCACAACCCGAAGCUACCUGCUUCCUUCAACAGUGGAUGGUGAUGCGGCUACAACCCUGACCUCAUCUUCAUCAGCGAGAAAAUCAGCCCUCAGUGCUCGAAGUCCGUCUGCAAACCCAUACCGAAAACACAGCACAGGCCCAUCAUGUGUCGGGUGCAAACUGUAGUACAACCCAUUAAGGUUCCAUUCUGGUGGAUCAACUUUGUUAAAGCAGACUGGACUUGAUUCGCAGAGGGUAUCGACGAGAAACUCUGUACUCUUUCAUCUGUGGCGUCGAACUACAACGAAUUCAUUAAAAUCGCCCGAACCGCGUCAUGUCAAACCAUACCGAGAGGCUGCCGCACAUACCACGUCCCUGGGCUUAACGCAGAGGCAUCAGGACUUCUUAAAACGUACGAGGCCUUGUACAAGAGUGACCCCUUCUCCGAGGAAACUGUACAGAUCGGCACCGAGCUGAUGCAAGAGUUGUCCACGAGCCGUAGGAAAAAAUGGGAAGACACGGUCACGAACAUCGACAUGACACACAACAGCAAAAAAGCCUGGUCCACCCUCCAUAGGCUAACAGGUGACCCCCCUGCAGCUACGAACCCUGGACAAGUCACCGCUAAUCAGGUCGCAAGCCAGUUGCUUCUCAGUGGUAAACCAUCACACCGACUACCUAGAGUUGCACUAGUAGUGGAAGCACAGGAAGACAGCAGCGAAAUAAGUAAACCGUUCACACUGUUUGAAGUUGUCACUUAAGUGAAACUUCUGAAAAAUGGAAAGGCAGCCAGUGUUGAUGAUCUUACUGUAGAGCAGAUCAAUAACCUUGAUCCAGUGGCAACAUCGUGGCUCAACGACUGCCUAACAAUGCUUAGAAUACCAAGAGCUUGGAGAAAAUCAAAGGUCGUUACAUUGCUGAAGCCAGGGAAAUGCCCCGCCGAUGCCCAAAGCUACCGACUCAAUAUCUCAAUAUCGUGCCCUGCGUGUCCACAUUCCUGCACGGCACGUGACCUCUGCGACAUGACGGAGAGGGCUAUCAAGACCGCAGCCUACUGGGUGAAACUAAUAUGAAGUGGAACCUCGACAUGGAAAGAAGAAGAAGAAGAAUUAAAAAAAAAAAAUUCUUUACCUCAUGUGGCGCUUUGGAGGGGGUAAACUUGGAGGCUCAGGCAAUAACAGCAAGCGUCUGAGAGCAGUGUUAUUAGUAAGAUUUACUUUUCCGGCCUUUUGCUGCACCUGUCCCAACUUUUUUGAGACCACCUUUUUUGUUGCGCCGAAUUACCUUCUUUUUUUUUCUUAUACAUUUACUCAGUUUAUGCAUGAAUAACAUGCAUUUAUGAGAUUUACAAAUCAUUGCAAUCUGUUUUUAUUUACAUUUAUUUACAUUUUACACAGCAUCCCAGCUUUUUUGGAAUUGGGGUUGUAUUUAAAGAAAGUCCAUGUAUUUAGAUGCUUUCCCAGUGCUGUAAAAUCUGUAUGUUAAUGUAUCUUUACAAUUGUAGUUUUUGUGUCCCUGACAUGUAAGAUGUAAGAUGUAUGUGUUAAUUAUGUUCAAUUUACAUAUUGUUUUUGUUUUUCCUGCCAUUGUAAGUAAUUACUUUGCAAUACUUAUGUAACUGUUUUUAAUUUUUAAGUAUUAAUAAAAAAAAGCGUCACACACACACAGAGCUAUAUUUAUUUAUUUAUUUUAAGUUAUACUGUGUAGGUCAGUUGGCUGACUUAAACUUGAAAACAAACUUGAAUAAAAACAAGUUUUUCAUUUUCAUGUAUUAAUAAAAAAAGAGUCU